CAUCACAACUGCCAUUCGAGAG
rnacentral:siRNA from 1 species